rnacentral:rRNA from 1 species
AGAACGAACGUUGGCGGCGUGGAUUAGGCAUGCAAGUCGAACGAAUCCCAUCUGGGUAACUGGGUGGGGGAAGUGGCGAAAGGGGCAGUAAGGCGUGGGUAACCUACCCCGGGGAUCGGGAUAGCCCUCCUAACGGAGGGGUAAUACCGGGCGAUCUGGCGAGGGGGCAUCUCUUUGCCAGGAAAUGAGUUUCGCCUCGGGAGGGGCUCACGUAGUAUUAGCUUGUUGAUGAGGUAACGGCCCACCAAGGCCAAGAUGCUUAGCGGGUGUGAGAGCACGACCCGCGCCACUGGCACUGUGACACUGGCCAGACUCCUACGGGAGGCUGCAGUCGAGGAUCUUCGGCAAUGGGCGCAAGCCUGACCGAGCGACGCCGCGUGUGCGAUGAAGGCCUUCGGGUUGUAAAGCACUGUCGAGGGGAAGAAAGACCCGCAAGGGUUUGAUCGACCCCUGGAGGAAGCACGGGCUAAGUUCGUGCCAGCAGCCGCGGUAAGACGAACCGUGCGAACGUUGUUCGGAUUCACUGGGCUUAAAGGGCGCGUAGGCGGACGAUCAAGUCUAGGGUGAAAUCUUUCAGCUUAACUGGAAAAGUGCCUUGGAUACUGGUCGUCUCGAGGGAGGUAGGGGCAUGUGGAACUUCCGGUGGAGCGGUGAAAUGCGUAGAUAUCGGAAGGAACGCCGGUGGCGAAAGCGACGUGCUGGACCUCUUCUGACGCUGAGGCGCGAAAGCCAGGGGAGCGAACGGGAUUAGAUACCCUGGUAGUCCACGCCGUAAACGAUGAGUACUAGGUGUAGGAGGUAUCGACUCCUUCUGUGCCGCAGUUAACACAAUAAGUACUCCGCCUGGGAAGUACGGUCGCAAGAUUAAA